rnacentral:rRNA from 1 species
AGAGUUUGAUCAUGGCUCAGGACGAACGCUGGCGGCGUGCUUCAUACAUGCAAGUCGAACGAGAAGCUCACUUCGGUGAGUGGAAAGUGGCGGACGGGUGAGUAAUAUGUAGAGAAUCUGCCCUAGAGAGAGGGACAACAGUUGGAAACGACUGCUAAUACCUCAUAUGCGCGUAGUUGAGAUACUAUUCGUGAAAACUCCGGUGCUCUAGGAUGAGUCUGCAUCUGAUUAGCUAGUUGGCGGUGUAAUGGACCACCAAGGCGACGAUCAGUAGCUGGUUUGAGAGGAUGAUCAGCCACAAUGGGACUGAGACACGGCCCAUACUCCUACGGGAGGCAGCAGUAGGGAAUUUUGCGCAAUGGGGGAAACCCUGACGCAGCAACGCCGCGUGAACGAAUAAGCCCUUCGGGGUGUAAAGUUCUGUCAGCAGGGACGAAACUUGACGGUACCUGCAGAGGAAGCAUCGGCUAACUCCGUGCCAGCAGCCGCGGUAAUACGGGGGAUGCAAGCGUUGUCCGGAAUCAUUGGGCGUAAAGAGUUCGUAGGUGGUUUGUUAAGUUAGGUGUUAAAUUCCGAGGCUCAACUUCGGUACGGCACUUGAUACUGGCAGACUUGAAUGCGGUAGAGGUAAAGGGAAUUCCUGGUGUAGCGGUGAAAUGCGUAGAUAUCAGGAGGAACAUCGGUGGCGUAAGCGCUUUACUGGGCCGUAAUUGACACUGAGGAACGAAAGCCGGGGUAGCAAAUGGGAUUAGAUACCCCAGUAGUCCCGGCCGUAAACGAUGGAUACUAGGGUGUUGCGGGUAUCGACCCCUGCAGUGCCGAAGCCAACGCGUUAAGUAUCCCGCCUGGGGAGUACGCACGCAAGUGUGAAACUCAAAGGAAUUGACGGGGACCCGCACAAGCGGUGGAACAUGUGGUUUAAUUCGAAGCAACGCGAAGAACCUUACCAGGGCUUGACAUCCAACUAACGAAGCAGAGAUGCAUUAGGUGCCCUUCGGGGAAAGUUGAGACAGGUGGUGCAUGGUUGUCGUCAGCUCGUGUCGUGAGAUGUUGGGUUAAGUCCCGCAACGAGCGCAACCCUUAUUGUUAGUUGCUACGCGAGAGCACUCUAGCGAGACUGCCGUUGACAAAACGGAGGAAGGUGGGGACGACGUCAAAUCAUCAUGCCCCUUAUGUCCUGGGCUACACACGUAAUACAAUGGCGCACAACAGAGGGAAGCAAAGCCGCGAGGUGGAGCAAAUCCCCAAAAGGCGUCCCAGUUCGGAUCGCAGGCUGCAACCCGCCUGCGUGAAGUCGGAAUUGCUAGUAAUCGCGGAUCAGAAUGCCGCGGUGAAUACGUUCCCGGGCCUUGUACACACCGCCCGUCACACCAUGAGAGUCGGGAACACCCGAAGUCCGUAGUCUAACCGUAAGGAGGGCGCGGCCGAAGGUGGGCUUGAUAAUUGGGGUGAAGUCGUAACAAGGUAACCGGUA